rnacentral:rRNA from 1 species
GAUGAACGCUAGCGGCAGGCUUAAUACAUGCAAGUCGUGGGGCAGCGCAGUGUAGCAAUACAUGGGCGGCGACCGGCAAACGGGUGCGGAACACGUACACAACCUUCCUUCAAAUGGGGAAUAGCCCAGGGAAACUUGGAUUAAUACCCCGUAACAUUAUGAGGUGGCAUCACUUUAUAAUUAUAGCUCCGGCGUUUGGAGAUGGGUGUGCGGCUGAUUAGGUAGUUGGCGGGGAACGGCCCACCAAGCCUUCGAUCAGUAACUGGUGUGAGAGCACGACCAGUCACACGGGCACUGAGACACGGGCCCGACUCCGUACGGGAGGCAGCAGUAAGGAAUNUUGGGCAAUGGACGCAAGUCUGACCCAGUCAUGCCGCGUGGAGGAUGA